rnacentral:rRNA from 1 species
AGAGUUUGAUCAUGGCUCAGAACGAACGCUGGCGGCAGGCUUAACACAUGCAAGUCGAACGCACCGCAAGGUGAGUGGCAGACGGGUGAGUAACGCGUGGGAACCUUCCCUUUGGUACGGAAUAACUUCGGGAAACCGAAGCUAAUACCGUAUAUCUCCUCCGGGAGAAAGAUUUAUCGCCAAAGGAUGGGCCCGCGUUGGAUUAGCUAGUUGGUAGGGUAAAAGCCUACCAAGGCAACGAUCCAUAGCUGGUCUGAGAGGAUGAUCAGCCACACUGGGACUGAGACACGGCCCAGACUCCUACGGGAGGCAGCAGUGGGGAAUAUUGGACAAUGGGCGCAAGCCUGAUCCAGCCAUGCCGCGUGAGUGAAGAAGGCCUUAGGGUUGUAAAGCUCUUUUGGCGGGGACGAUAAUGACGGUACCCGCAGAAUAAGCCCCGGCUAACUUCGUGCCAGCCGCCGC